GAUAGAGUGGCUGAAUACAAGCAUUAGACUGUAAAUCUAAACAUGAAGGUUGUAGUCCUUUUUCUAUCA
rnacentral:tRNA from 1 species